CGGCGGAUAUGGCGGAGGCGGAUACGGCGGUGGAUACAGCUACGGAGGCGGCGGGGGUGGACACCACCACGGUCUCCUGCACAAGCUGAAGCACAAGCUGUUUCACCAUGGCUGAAGAGCUGGGACGACUGAAGAACUCCAUUACUUUCAAGCAAGCUCCAGUGUGAACUAGCCGGCUGCGGUAUAGUGUGGUCUUAUAUAAGUUCAUCAGGCCUGUGCAACUAGAAAAUGAACUGUGACGUAUGAAAAUUACACCCCAAUGCACUAAAGAAGAGAGGUGGUUCUUCGAGGAGUAAAGCACAUGGUCGCAGUUGGUGUAUUUAUUGUGAUAGUUACAUAUGUUUUGCCACUACGCAGGUGCCAGCCAAACCGGCGCUACUGGCGUUUUAUUACACUGACAAUUAACUUAUUGACGAAUGUAGUAACGCUGUUAGCAUGCUUUAGCAUCCUUCUGGAAGGUAAUUGUACUGCUAUUUAAUGGCUACUAGCGCAUAUUCUGACUGGAGUGCCCUAUGCGGCACGCAUGCUUCAAAACUCUUCCUCUUCAGUCCAUUAUUAAUAAAAUUCGGUUUCGCAUGCAUUCCUUCAUGAGGUUUCUUUACAUUUAGGCAUGUGAGACAUACGAUGGCUUACUUUUGUACGUAAGUCAUCUCGCAGCGCAUUCAGUUGUCUUUUCUUUUCCUUUUCCUUUCACGAAAGCAUGUCAUAUGCCAUGCGUGGAAGUAUAAAGCCCAUUUCACAAAGCCUUCAACUUGUCUACUACUUCAACAUAGGCUCGCCAUAUCUGUAAUUUAAAUGUCUAUCAUCGGUACUGGCUGUAUGAUCUUACGAACAAUAUUAGAGCGGGUACUCGUACUUUCUAUGAGUAUGGUGCAUGAAGUGAAUAAGUGUUUCUUAGGAAUAGUUAUUUCGCCACCGCUGCAGCUUUACUUUCGCAUACAACAACGCACUAAAAAAAAAAAGCUGUGGUUUAGUUUCAAGGGUACACGCCAUUGCAAAUUUAGAAAAUGAUGUUUUCGAGAACAUGCUGAAAUUUAUGAGGUUUCAAUAGUCAUAAAGCUCAUAUGAUUUCCAUCGCAAUCCAAGCACCAUUAGCGCGAUAAUUCGAUUCUGACAAGUCACUGCAUCAUUUCAACUUAUUCCAUUCUGGCAUCAUUUCAGUAUUAGGAUAGUGGUUUCAGUGCUUCUGAAGCAAACCUGCCUGCAUAUUUCUACUGUUCUCUAGCGUAGAAACAUUGUUACGUAGUGGCUCAUGUGCUCAGAUUUAUCUGUGAUACUACACUGCAGUUGCGAUGCCUGGGUCUUUUUGCCCGCUCAGCAACGUAAUAUAUAUAGCGCAGAAGACGUUUUUAGUAUAGAUGUUUAUGUUAUAACGCAUUUGUACAUAAUCAAAUACCAGAUUUGUAUAUUCUGUAUUGCGUAAAAAGAAUAUGAAUAGAUAUGUAUGUCUAUCCAUUCUUCCAUUUAUUUUUCGGUCUGUCUCAAGCGAUGCACUUUCGGACAAACGAAAAAUUGCACAUGUUUCACGCCUGCCGUAUCCAGUAUGACGCCAGGCGCUGAGUUAGGCAAGUUCGUGCGAC
rnacentral:lncRNA from 1 species